rnacentral:tRNA from 1 species
UCUAUUAUCGUCCAGCGGUUAGGAUAUCUGGCUUACACCAGGAGACCCGGGUUCGAUUCCUGGUAAUGGAA